CGGGUGCGUAACGCGUAAACAAUCUACCUCAUACUGGGGGAUAGCCCUGGGAAACCGGGAGUAAGCCCGCAUGGCACCACCGGAUUUCAUGGUUUGGUGGUUAAAGAUUUAUUGGUAUGAGAUGAGUUUGCGUCUGAUUAGCUAGUUGGCGGGGUAACGGCCCACCAAGGCGAUGAUCAGUAGGGGCUCUGAGAGGAGCGGCCCCCACACUGGCACUGAGACACGGGCCAG
rnacentral:rRNA from 1 species